rnacentral:rRNA from 1 species
CAGCCGCCGCGGUAAUACGAAGGGGGCUAGCGUUGCUCGGAAUUACUGGGCGUAAAGGGCGCGUAGGCGGACAGUUCAGUCGGGGGUGAAAACCCGGGGCUCAACCUCGGAAUUGCCUUCGAUACUGGCUGUCUUGAGUAUGAGAGAGGUGUGUGGAACUCCGAGUGUAGAGGUGAAAUUCGUAGAUAUUCGGAAGAACACCAGUGGCGAAGGCGACACACUGGCUCAUUACUGACGCUGAGGCGCGAAAGCGUGGGGAGCGAACAGGAUUAGAUACCCCAGUAGUCCCUGUCUCUUAUAC